UGGAAACGCUGUAUCCAAGAGAGAGAGAGAAAGAGAGCGGUUGCAAUCCACUGGGGAGCGGCAUGGCACUGGGACGGGAGGCAGAAGAGGGUAAAGAGGGGAGGAUGUUUGCCCGUCCUGGUGGAUUGUGCAGGAGACUGCUCCCAAAUCCAAUUAAUUCCUGCUGGAUGCGUUCAUUUGUCUCGUGCAUCUGACGAGAAAGACACAGAGAGGGACCCCUAAGGAGGCCAGGGUCGUCUCCUCUCCAACUUUCCCUCUGACAUCCCGGGCCUGGUAAUGAGAACGAGACGAGGCACGGGCACCGAAGACGACAAGUCGGCCCCCGCCGCAUGUCUGCCAUAAGCCUCGCAUCAGGCUUGAAAGAGCAUGUGAGGUCCCUGUUUUCUAAGUCCUGUGAGUCGGUGGAAACAAAGGGACGCGGAUGCCACACUGCCACUCUGACCCAUAUAAAGACACUCGUGUUAGCGCUCGGUGCCCUUAACCUUCAUGCCUGAUUACUGCAGUUUGUUUAUGUCCUGGCUGAACCUGAGUGAGUCUGACAAGAUCAAGUCAAGGUGUCUGCUUGGAAUAGAAGCCAAAAAGGAAAACAGGCCCCACAUAAACACACGCAUGCGUGCCUGUGUGAGUGCUCCCUCAAGAGGAAAA